AUUCCCUUGGAGCUGAACGGGUGAGAGUCGUUUGCACGAUGCAGGGAGAAAUGAGUGGAUUAUAAAAUGAUCUGUUGGAUCUACCUUCAGAGAGGAAAACUACGGCUUCCAGGGCAGCUUUUCAGAAGUCUAGAACUUGUGAUGCUGGGCUUCUGUUGAUGUGCACUUGAGGGCCCAUGAGAAAGAGUAUUAACAAACAUUCUUUAAUUUUGUAAGAAUCAUUGAGAGGCACAUUAAUGCUACAGGGUCUGUACUCGAUUUCAAGUCAACAUCAGCUUAGUUUAUGUAAGGGGCUCAUCUUCAUUAGUUUUCAUCAAAUAAUACAGUAAAUACAGAGCAAAGAGACACUGGCCAAAUAUACAAGCUUUAGUGAUAUCGCUCUCAUUUCAUCAUCAUAAUCCUAUGGCCUCAGCCGAGAGGGCUUAAGAUGACCCUGAGGUCUUUUAUUGCACUUGGCAUGUCCAUUACAAACUCACCAUGAUUGUGCAUUGCGUAAAAUUAAAGGUUUACUCACUCAUUUCAAAUUUAAGUUGCUCAGAAAACUUAGAUUGGCUGUACAGCAUACAUACCCCUUUUCUUUAGCAUAGUCUUGUGCAAAAUGUUCUUGAUUGAGAAUAUCAACAAGUUUAUUGAUUCCAAUUUUUUUUUUCACCAUUUGGCAGUUUGGGAAGCAGUGACUCCAAUUUAUAGAAGGCUGCUUGUUUGAUACCAAGUCACAAAUGUUACCAUGAAUAGUCACUAACUUUUGAGUGUCUAGCCAGUGCAUGUGCUAUAGUAUGUUAUGCUAUAAGCUUUUAUUUUCAAGCUGAUAACAGUCAAUUCAGGCUUUAUUUCAUUUAAAUUUUAAUUUUGUGACUGAAAAGUUCUUUCUUUGAUCCUCAACGUCUGCAUUUUGUCUUUGAUUAGCUAGAAAUACUAUUAUUUUUUUAAUUGGAUCACAGUUUUUAUUUCUUCCUUGUUUUUUUUACCAUUGCUAAUGACUCUACAUGGCGCUUAUGAGUAUUUGAAACUUAUCCCUUGGUUGCACUGCGUUAGGUUCUAACUUCAAUCUUGUGAAGGGGGGCAAUGGCAAAAAUGGUUUUAUUAAAAAAACAUUCUACUGCUAA